rnacentral:rRNA from 1 species
UACGAAGGGGGCUAGCGUUGUUCGGAAUUACUGGGCGUAAAGCGCAUGUAGGCGGAUCUAUAAGUCAGAGGUGGAAUCCCCGGGCUCAACCCUGGAAUUGCCUUUGAUACUGUAGAUCUGGAGUCUGGGAGAGGUGAGUGGAAUUCCGAGUGUAGAGGUGAAAUUCGUAGAUAUUCGGAGGAACACCAGUGGCGAAGGCGGCUCACUGGCCCGAGACUGACGCUGAGAUGCGAAAGCGUGGGGAGCAGACAGG